rnacentral:rRNA from 1 species
UACGAAGGGGGCUAGCGUUGUUCGGAAUUACUGGGCGUAAAGGGCGCGUAGGCGGUCCUGAUCGUCGGAUGUGAAAGGCCUGGGCUCAACCUCGGAACUGCCUUUGAUACUAUUGGUCUUGAAUGUUGUUGAGGUGGGCGGAACGGGUCAUGUAGCGGUGAAAUGCAUAGAUAUGACCCGGAACACCGAUUGCGAAGGCAGCCCGCUAAGCAACUAUUGACGCUGAGGCACGAAAGCGUGGGGAUCAAACAGG